ACUUUCCCGAUACCAUCUCGCCGCCGCCCCAUGCCCCGCCGCCGUGCGCCACCACCCCUCGCCCCACCGCCGCGCGCCACCACCCCUUGCGCCGCCGCCGCGCGCCACCAUCCCUCGCCCCGCGGCCGCGCGCCACCACUCCUCGGCCCCCCGCCGGGAGCCACCAUCCCUCGCCCUGUCGCCGCACGCCGGUAGCCCCCGCCCCAUGGCGAACCGCGCCUCAACCACCGACGACCUCCGCGUGAAGAUUUCCUCGGCGAGAUCCGACGUAUGCUUCUUCUGCGGGGUAGGAGGCGGAGGACGCAGCGGUGACUCCCACGCUAGGGAUGCAGAGGACACGCACGGCGCGCGACGCAAGAUGGUGGUCAUGGGUGGUGAUGCGCCUGUGCGCCGCCCCAUCCACGGCUGACCGCCGCUCGAAGCUGCCCCUGCACGCCGCCGACUCAUCCAGGCACUGGCCCCUGCUUCCUCCCAUGUGGCCUUCUUCCUCUGUCCACUACUGGCUCGUCGGCAGUUCUUCGUCGCCAACACCCGAAGGUUCAAUCAAUUUCAUCUUCGUAGCUAUGAGGUUGAGCCAAUUUUCUCGGCUACUGAAACCGAUCAUUUGACAGAGAAUUCAAAAGAAACAGCAUAUAUGAGGAUACGUGAAGUUUAAAAGUUCUGGUUCAGGGAAGUAGACAUCCUGCAGUUUUUGGGAAUUAGUAGUUCACCUUUGCUACGUGUAGCAAGUUCUCUGGUUGCAAAAAUUAAUUCACUUUGCAAAAACUCUGCAGGUUAACAAUUUCUUUUGUUUGUUGUAGAUGGAGAUGUGUGUAUGUAUACAUGUGUUCUGGAGAUAGGAGAACUUAUCUGGUGGUGUGUGCGUGCUGCUGCAUCCUCUUCCGGCCGCUCUAAUGCACACCCUCAGUACAACUUCUUUCGGUUCAAUUUACAAAUUUCAUUCAGUUCGGCGAGGUGGAGAUUGGGGCGCAGUGGGGUGUGGCCUUGCGUGUGGAGACGGCCCGCCGCAACGUCACCGGCCGGAUCCCGCUCUUCAGUUGCUUAUAAGCUUGACAUCUUUGAUGAAUCCAGCCCGAACUGAAGCAUGUCGGCAAGCCGGGCGGUGCGCCAACCACUGUUGUCUGUCUACCUCCUUCCCCGUGCAGAGAAGUUAUCCUGUUGCGGGCUGACCUGGAGGCUCCCUUCUCCACGUCGACACAAUUGCAGACCACGCAAGCUUUCUCAAGGAGCUCGUGUCCAAUGAUACUGAAAGGGAAAAUGGAGUGAAAGUGCUACUGCUCCAGUUUUGAACUUCUUAUUCAGUCAUGCUAUUACUGAGUGAAAAAUGGAGUCAAAAGUGUAUUGCAAUUGAUCUCUCUUAGACCCUGGCAAUCCUCUAUUUAUCCUUUGUUUGCUUGUCUUUUGGUCUGUAAUUCAAGAACUUUGACCUUCGUAAUUCGGUUUUUGGUUAAUUUAUUAUGCCCUGUACAAACCUUUAAAUCUGAAGAGGCUUCUAAUAGCAAAAAAAUGUGCAGCCGGUGUGGUCUAUAUGUCAAUUCAUGUAUGAAAAUGUGCAUUCGGUGUGGUGUA